CAAAGACCGUUCUUAGCAGUGUACUAAACACCGGUGAUUGUUACUCAGUUCCUACACACUGGUAAUUCAGUUUUCCUAGCUUAACUGCCAUCUGUCAAUUCCUCUCGAUGACGUUUUUAUCCCGGUGCGUAUCUGUGAAGUACUUCAAGUGUCCCCCUCAACCAGGGUUUCUUCCCCACUCUUGCGGGUCUGCUGUGUUCAAGGAAUCAAGGAUGGCGACCAUGGGCCAUCUUGCAGGAUGGUCGAUUCUAGUUGCUGCCCUAAUCACCAGUGU